AGUCGAACGAUGAAGCCCUUCGGGGUGGAUUAGUGGCGAACGGGUGAGUAACACGUGGGCAAUCUGCCCUGCACUCUGGGACAAGCCCUGGAAACGGGGUCUAAUACCGGAUACUGAUCGCCUUGGGCAUCCUUGGUGAUCGAAAGCUCCGGCGGUGCAGGAUGAGCCCGCGGCCUAUCAGCUUGUUGGUGAGGUAAUGGCUCACCAAGGCGACGACGGGUAGCCGGCCUGAGAGGGCGACCGGCCACACUGGGACUGAGACACGGCCCAGACUCCUACGGGAGGCAGCAGUGGGGAAUAUUGCACAAUGGGCGAAAGCCUGAUGCAGCGACGCCGCGUGAGGGAUGACGGCCUUCGGGUUGUAAACCUCUUUCAGCAGGGAAGAAGCGAAAGUGACGGUACCUGCAGAAGAAGCGCCGGCUAACUACGUGCCAGCAGCCGCGGUAAUUC
rnacentral:rRNA from 1 species